rnacentral:rRNA from 1 species
GACGAACGCUGGCGGCGUGCUUAACACAUGCAAGUCGAACGGAAAGGCCCUGCUUUUGUGGGGUGCUCGAGUGGCGAACGGGUGAGUAACACGUGAGUAACCUGCCCUUGACUUUGGGAUAACUUCAGGAAACUGGGGCUAAUACCGGAUAGGAGCUCCUGCUGCAUGGUGGGGGUUGGAAAGUUUCGGCGGUUGGGGAUGGACUCGCGGCUUAUCAGCUUGUUGGUGGGGUAGUGGCAUACCAAGGCUUUGACGGGUAGCCGGCCUGAGAGGGUGACCGGCCACAUUGGGACUGAGAUACGGCCCAGACUCCUACGGGAGGCAGCAGUGGGGAAUAUGGCACAAUGGGCGGAAGCCUGAUGCAGCAACGCCGGGUGCGGGAUGACGGCCUUCUGGUUGUAAACCGCUUUCGCCUGUGACGAAGCGUGAGUGACGGUAAUGGGUAAAGAAGCACCGGCUAACUACGUG